rnacentral:rRNA from 1 species
AUUGAACGCUGGCGGCAGGCCUAACACAUGCAAGUCGAGCGAGCGGCGGACGGGUGAGUAAUGUAUGGGGACUGCCCGAUCGAGGGGGAUAACUACUGGAAACGGGAGCUACUACCGCAUACUAUCGGAUAACCCAGAUGGGAUUAGCUAGUAGGUGAGGUAAUGGCUCACCUAGGCGACGAUCCCUAGCUUGUCUGAGAGGAUGAUCAGCCACACGGGAACUGAGACACGGCCCAGACUCCUACGGAGGCAGCAGUGGGGAAUAGUGCACAAUGGGCGCAAGCCUGAUGCAGCCAUGCCGCGUGUGUGAAGAAGGCCCGAGGGUUGUAAAGUACUGUCAGUCGGGAGGCGUUACCGACAGAAGAAGCACCGGCUAACUCCGUGCCAGCAGCCGCGGUAAUAC